rnacentral:rRNA from 1 species
UACGAAGGACCCGAGCGUUAUCCGGAUUUAUUGGGUUUAAAGGGUGCGUAGGCGGAUUAGUAAGUCAGUGGUGAAAGCCCGUCGCUUAACGGCGGAACUGCCAUUGAUACUGCUAGUCUUGAGUAUGGUUGAGGUGGGCGGAAUGUGUCAUGUAGCGGUGAAAUGCUUAGAUAUGACCCAGAACACCAAUUGCGAAGGCAGCUCGCUAAGCCAUAACUGACGCUGAGGCACGAAAGCGUGGGGAGCAAACAGG